rnacentral:lncRNA from 1 species
GGUGCAUUGGAUCAUGGCUCGUCCGCCUCCUCCUCGACCGUAAUUACACCGUCCAUGCCACCGUCAAAGAUCUCAGUUAGUUUACCAUUUGCCUUUUCCAUUUAUCUACACAACUGCCAUUUCCGUGCUGUUCAGUCUGAAACGUCGUCGUGUCGUUUUUGUUGCAGAGGACGAGGGUGAGACGAAGCAUCUAGAAGCCCUAGAAGGAGCAGCGACGCGUCUCCGUCUCUUCCAGAUCGACCUCCUCGACUACAACUCCAUCUUCGCCGCCAUCAAUGGCUGCUCCGGCGUCUUCCACCUCGCCUCUCCUUGCAUCAUCGAUCAAGUCCAAGACCCCGAGGUUGCUUCAUCUUCACAAAAAGGCCAUUAAAGGAAGCUCAAUUCUUUGUAAUUAUGAUUAUAUUUAGAUGAAAUUGUUGUGCUUUUUGUUAUACAGAAGGAGCUUCUGGACCCGGCGAUCAAAGGAGCGCUUAAUGUUCUGACGGCAGCGAAGCAGGCUGGGGUCAGGCGAGUGGUGCUGACAUCCUCCAACGCCGCCAUCAUUCCCAGCCCUUGCUGGCCGUCCGAUAAGAUCAAGGGUGAGGAUUGCUGGACCGAUAUUGACUACUGCAAGCAGAAGGGAGUGAGUUACUGAGUGCCUAAGUUCUUUGUUAUUAUAGUUUGAAAUUUUGAAAAUUGGGGACUGUGAUGUGAUGCUGAUUGUGUAUGGUGUUCGGUUAGUUGUGGUAUUCAUUGUCGAAAACUUUGGCGGAGAAAGCUGCGUGGGAAUUUGCCAAGGAGAAGGGAUUGGAUGUGGUUGUGGUGAAUCCUGGCACCGUGUUGGGCGAUGUCAUUUCGCCCAGGCUCAAUUCUAGCAUGGUGACGCUAGUGCGCCUUCUUGAGGGUAUUGUUCUCUGCACAUUUGUGUUUGAAUAUCUUCUAGGAUUACACCUGGAAGUAGAUUGUUGACUCCAUCCAAUUCUCAUAUGUGCAGUCUUAUUUGAAUACUCUAUUAUUGUGUAAUGUUCUGUUUCCUGAUAGUUUGCCAUGUUAUGUUGCCAAAUUGUUGAUCGAAAUCAUACAUUCAGAUCAGACAUAGUUUUGCAUUUGAUUGACAGUUUGUUUGAUAACAUAACAUCUCUAUAGUAAGAGAACAUUUCCCAUUUAUUAUUUGUGGUAACAUGAGACUAAGGUGACCACGUUCUUAUUGAGGCUGUAGUUGGUAGAUGAACCAGGAAUCAGGUGGACAUUAGAUAUUUUCUGAAAAGACAUUUCUGCUAAAGAAAGGUUUGUGUUUGGUGUUUAAAAUCUUGAAGUAUUUCUUCAUUUAUAAUACUUGAGUUUGUUUGAAGUUUUUUGCUUAGUUAACCCCCAAGUUUGGAGAAGGUGUAUUGCAUGAGAAUAAGUGUGUGUGGCAAUAGAGGAAUCCUUUUGCACCUCUUUGCUAGCAAGCAAAUACUUGGCUCCUUUCCUGCAAAUCACCCUUUCACAUGUGUGCAGAAUUUAUUUUUAUUUUUCUUUCUUUCGAGCGUUUAAUGAGUUAUCUUUGCACACGUGUGAAGCUGUGAUUCGCAAGUACAUAGGACUGGCUUCGUCCAGAUACGAAGCCAUGCAGAGUCCCUGCUAGCAUAUGUUUCUCUUUAAGUUUGAUAGUUUAUGUCAUUAAAGGGUCGGUUUUUGGUUUCCUUAAAUUGUUUAUCCAUGUCGCCUUAUCUCCUCUCCUGGUUAGUGGAGGACUGGACAGAAGGGUAAUGGCCCUAGAGACAUCAUGGCUGAAGUAACAAGGAAAAUCGAUCAACCUUAAAAAGAAAAAGAAUUGACAAUAUCCUUGUCAAUCUUUGCUGCAGGCUGCACUGAAACAUACGAGAACAUCUUUAUGGGAUCUGUGCAUUUUAAAGAUGUAGCUCUUGCACACAUUUUAGUGUAUGAGAACAAAUCGGCCACUGGUAGACACCUGUGCGUUGAAGCUAUAUCACAUUAUGGUGACUUCGUGGCCAAGGUAGCUGAACUUUACCCUGAGUACAAGGUGCCGAGGUAAAUUCCAGUCCUUAGACACCUGUAAAGUGGUUUUGCAACUGAAUCUAUGUGCAUAUAUAUAUUUUUCCAUAACUAUGUGCAUAUAUAUUUUUUUUGCCAUAACUAUGUGCAUAUCUUAAGUUUAGGAGUUUGGUUUCCUGAUAACAACAAUAAGCAUCAGAACGUCAAAUAUGCAGUAUUGUGAAACUGAUACCCUAUGUUAUAAUUGAUAGCAAAACAACAGAUGAUCAAGCUCGACCUCAUCAUAACACAGCUACAGCUCAAUGUACUGAAAUUAUGUUCUCACAAAUGGUUCUAACUGAUUGUAUUUAGUUAGACAGGUUGAGUGAUUUUAGGGAUUAGUCUGUAACUGUAUUGCUAAAGCUUACUAUAAAUACUUGUAAAUCCUUCUCCAUAAAUUAAUGAGAGAAAAUCUGUUAUUUUACAAUAAUUACUGUCAAGACAUCAAAUGCUUCAUUGCAACUUCUUUAACUGCCAGUACUCCUUUUACAGUCAUUUCAUGAACAUAUGGCUUUGAAAUUGCUCAAGCUAUUAAUAUGUUUAUUAUUGUGCAGUUUGCCGAAGGAUACCCAACCCGGGUUGCUGAGGGAAAAAAAUGGAGCCAAGAAGCUAAUGAACUUGGGUUUAGAAUUCAUUCCCAUGGAUCAAAUCAUCAAGGAUGCUGUUGAGAGCCUAAAGAGCAAGGGAUUUAUUUCAUAAACGAAACUGAAGGAUAUGAAACUUAUGAGGAACCUAGUUAUUGUAGAAGUGGCGAGGACAUGCAACCUAAAUGAUAUAGUUAAUGGAUUGUGUUUAAUAUUAUGUACCAGUCAUGCCUCCGUGCAAUCUGUAUAUGAAUAAAUAAGCAACAUUUGAAUGUUCAUAAUCUUUUAUGAUGUGGUAUUUGCUUAAAAUUAAAAGUUAACAUAGUCCCAAACUCAAUUCUCAUUUACUGGUUUUCUAUUAUGAUGUGGUAUUUGCUGAAAUUCACAUCUAUAACCAAAUUCAGCUUCUUAUUACUGUUUUGUUGCUCCUUAAGAUGCAAAUAGAAAACCAGAAACCAUUUAGAGUGUUGGUUACCUUUAAUUAGUUGAACACUUCCUUAUCCUGGCGUAGACAGGUAUAGAGAGAAGUUUUUGGAUAGACAUGAUUGAAUUUGAGGGCAUUUCUAUGUUGCCCCAUUUUUGCAGACUAAAAGUGCACAGAUCAGUAGGAGAGNNNNNNNNNNNNNNNNNNNNNNNNNNNNNNNNNNNNNNNNNNNNNNNNNNNNNNNNNNNNNNNNNNNNNNNNNNNNNNNNNNNNNNNNNNNNNNNNNNNNNNNNNNNNNNNNNNNNNNNNNNNNNNNNNNNNNNNNNNNNNNNNNNNNNNNNNNNNNNNNNNNNNNNNNNNNNNNNNNNNNNNNNNNNNNNNNNNNNNNNNNNNNNNNNNNNNNNNNNNNNNNNNNNNNNNNNNNNNNNNNNNNNNNNNNNNNNNNNNNNNNNNNNNNNNNNNNNNNNNNNNNNNNNNNNNNNNNNNNNNNNNNNNNNNNNNNNNNNNNNNNNNNNNNNNNNNNNNNNNNNNNNNNNNNNNNNNNNNNNNNNNNNUUCCAUUGGAGGAUAAUACUAGAUAAGUAGUUAUUGCGAGAGAAUAUUUAUGUCUUUCAUAGGGAAAACUCGGGUGAAAAUUUCCUUAUUACAUGGCAAGAUGAAUGUCAAGCACUGACCAGUUAUAACAUAACAUAUGUUUAACACACCCUAUGGCACGUGACAAGGAAGAUGCACCCUAUCAAUAGUUGAGAGUCACUGAUAUGCACAAGUAAUUGAAUUUCUACCGUGAAAGUAAAUAUUUUUUAAAAAUUUAUUAUAACUUAUUCUAAAAAAAUAUGAGUGUCAAAUUAAAUUUUAGGUGCAAUGGUAGAUCAUGAAAUUGUAUCUUCCUUUUGGCAUUCGAGUUUAAAUCUCUCUCCCUAUAAAUUAGAGUAGUUUAGAAUAUUAUCCAUUCUUCAAAAUAAAAAAUUAGACAUGGGUAUCGAAGUUCUUUUCGGCUUGUUUUAGAAGGUUCUCCGACGUGGCCCAAAUCCAACUGGUCACCAGCAACAAGUAGCUGAAGUAACUGUAACCAAGUAAACCUCUCCUCUCGGAAGAGGUACUAACUAGGAAGGAUAAUAUGUCGAAGACAGAUGAGGUCGUAUGCGUUACCGGUGGAAGUGGGUGCAUUGGAUCAUGGCUCGUCCGUCUCCUCCUCGACCGUAAUUACACCGUCCAUGCCACUGUCAAAGAUCUCAGUUAGUUUACCCUUUGCCUUUUCUAUUUAUCUACACAACUGCCAUUUCCUUGCUGUUCAGUCUGAAACGUCGUCGUGUCGUUUUUGUUGCAGAUGACGAGGGUGAGACGAAGCAUCUAGAAGCCCUAGAAGGAGCAUCGACGCGUCUCCGUCUCUUCCAGAUCGACCUCCUCGACUACAACUCCAUCUUCGCCGCCAUCAAUGGCUGCUCCGGCGUCUUCCACCUCGCCUCUCCUUGCAUCGUCGAUCAAGUCCAAGACCCCGAGGUUGCUUCAUCUUCACAAAAAGGCCAUAAAAGAAGCUCAAUUCUUUGUAAUUAUGAUUAUAUUUAGAUGAAAUUGUUGUGCUUUUUGUUAUACAGAAGGAGCUUCUGGACCCGGCGAUCAAAGGAACGCUUAAUGUUCUGACGGCAGCGAAGCAGGCUGGGGUCAGGCGAGUGGUGCUGACAUCCUCCAACGCCGCCAUCAUUCCCAGCCCUUGCUGGCCGUCCGAUAAGAUCAAGGGUGAGGAUUGCUGGACCGAUAUUGACUACUGCAAGCAGAAGGGAGUGAGUUACUGAGUGCCUAAGUUCUUUGUUAUUAUAGUUUGAAAUUUUGAAAAUUGGGGACUGUGAUGUGAUGCUGAUUGUGUAUGGUGUUCGGUUAGUUGUGGUAUUCAUUGUCGAAAACUUUGGCGGAGAAAGCUGCGUGGGAAUUUGCCAAGGAGAAGGGAUUGGAUGUGGUUGUGGUGAAUCCUGGCACCGUGUUGGGCGAUGUCAUUUCGCCCAGGCUCAAUUCUAGCAUGGUGACGCUAGUGCGCCUUCUUGAGGGUAUUGUUCUCUGCACAUUUGUGUUUGAAUAUCUUCUAGGAUUACACCUGGAAGUAGAUUGUUGACUCCAUCCAAUUCUCAUAUGUGCAGUCUUAUUUGAAUACUCUAUUAUUGUGUAAUGUUCUGUUUCCUGAUAGUUUGCCAUGUUAUGUUGCCAAAUUGUUGAUCGAAAUCAUACAUUCAGAUCAGACAUAGUUUUGCAUUUGAUUGACAGUUUGUUUGAUAACAUAACAUCUCUAUAGUAAGAGAACAUUUCCCAUUUAUUAUUUGUGGUAACAUGAGACUAAGGUGACCACGUUCUUAUUGAGGCUGUAGUUGGUAGAUGAACCAGGAAUCAGGUGGACAUUAGAUAUUUUCUGAAAAGACAUUUCUGCUAAAGAAAGGUUUGUGUUUGGUGUUUAAAAUCUUGAAGUAUUUCUUCAUUUAUAAUACUUGAGUUUGUUUGAAGUUUUUUGCUUAGUUAACCCCCAAGUUUGGAGAAGGUGUAUUGCAUGAGAAUAAGUGUGUGUGGCAAUAGAGGAAUCCUUUUGCACCUCUUUGCUAGCAAGCAAAUACUUGGCUCCUUUCCUGCAAAUCACCCUUUCACAUGUGUGCAGAAUUUAUUUUUAUUUUUCUUUCUUUCGAGCGUUUAAUGAGUUAUCUUUGCACACGUGUGAAGCUGUGAUUCGCAAGUACAUAGGACUGGCUUCGUCCAGAUACGAAGCCAUGCAGAGUCCCUGCUAGCAUAUGUUUCUCUUUAAGUUUGAUAGUUUAUGUCAUUAAAGGGUCGGUUUUUGGUUUCCUUAAAUUGUUUAUCCAUGUCACCUUAUCUCUUCUUCUGGUUAGUGGAGGACUGGACAGGAGGGUAAUGGCCCUAGAGACAUCAUGGCUGAAGUAAAAAGGAAAAUCGAUCAACCUUAAAAAGAAAAAUAAUUGACAAUAUCCUUGUCAAUCUUUGCUGCAGGCUGCACUGAAACAUACGAGAACAUCUUUAUGGGAUCUGUGCAUUUUAAAGAUGUAGCUCUUGCACACAUUUUAGUGUAUGAGAACAAAUCGGCCACUGGUAGACACCUGUGCGUUGAAGCUAUAUCACAUUAUGGUGACUUCGUGGCCAAGGUAGCUGAACUUUACCCUGAGUACAAGGUGCCGAGGUAAAUUCCAGUCCUUGGACACCUGUAAAGUGGUUUUGCAACUGAAUCUAUGUGCAUAUAUAUAUUUUUCCAUAACUAUGUGCAUAUAUAUAUAUAUUUUUUUGCCAUAACUAUGUGCAUAUCUUAAGUUUAGGAGUUUGGUUUCCUGAUAACAACAAUAAGCAUCAGAACGUCAAAUAUGCAGUAUUGUGAAACUGAUACCCUAUGUUAUAAUUGAUAGCAAAACAACAGAUGAUCAAGCUCGACCUCAUCAUAACACAGCUACAGCUCAAUGUACUGAAAUUAUGUUCUCACAAAUGGUUCUAACUGAUUGUAUUUAGUUAGACAGGUUGAGUGAUUUUAGGGAUUAGUCUGUAACUGUAUUGCUAAAGCUUACUAUAAAUACUUGUAAAUCCUUCUCCAUAAAUUAAUGAGAGAAAAUCUGUUAUUUUACAAUAAUUAUUGUCAAGACAUCAAAUGCUUCCUUGCAACUUCUUUAACUGCCAGUACUCCUUUUACAGUCAUUUCAUGAACAUAUGGCUUUGAAAUUGCUCAAGCUAUUAAUAUGUUUAUUAUUGUGCAGUUUGCCGAAGGAUACCCAACCUGGGUUGCUGAGGGAAAAAAAUGGAGCGAAGAAGCUAAUGAACUUGGGUUUAGAAUUCAUUCCCAUGGAUCAAAUCAUCAAGGAUGCUGUUGAGAGCCUAAAGAGCAAGGGAUUUAUUUCAUAAACGAAACUGAAGGAUAUGAAACUUAUGAGGAACCUAGUUAUUGUAGAAGUGGUGAGGACAUGCAACCUAAAUGAUAUAGUUAAUGGAUUGUGUUUAAUAUUAUGUACCAGUCAUGCCUCCGUGCAAUCUGUAUAUGAAUAAAUAAGCAACAUUUGAAUGUUCAUAAUCUUUUAUGAUGUGGUAUAACAUGGGUGAAAGGAUGAGUAAACAAUACAAGUACCGGCCCGAGUGGUUAAGAAUUUGACCCUUGUUGGAAUUGUUCUCAUUAUGGUUCUGCUAUCUGUGAAAUUUCCUUCGAUGCAUAUCAAUCUCAGGUUCUUGCAAUUUUCUUAUUGUGCUGUUUUAGGCGGUCUACAAGCAGCCUGUGUUGGCUGUGCUGGUUUUGCUGCAUUUUCAGUGCUGAUAGAGAAGUUUUUGGAUAGACAUGAUUGAAUUUGAGGGCAUUUCUAUGUUGCCCCAUUUUUGCAGACUAAAAGUGCACAGAUCAGUAGGAGAGAAAUAGCAUCUUGGCCUGCAGUAAUACAGAUGUUUUGCUUAGAUUCAACUUCAGCCCUUGUUAUUAUUAUUUAUCCCCUUUUAUAAAGGGAUGUACCAGCUAAAUUACAAAGCCAAUCAUUUUGUAUUAUGUUAUUCUGUUGACUGCAGUUCCAGUUUCAUAAUUUCAACAGAGGAUAUGUAACUGAGGAAAUUGAAUGGAUUAUAGAGAAUGUUUGCUGCAAGAUUCAAGUAAGUACGUAGAAGGGAAUUUCUUGUUCCAUUGUUGUAUUAAUACCACAAUACAAUACUAGACUAGAAAUGGUAAUGAAUUUUUUUUUUUUCUCUGAUUGACGAAAGAGGGGAUUCGAACUUGAGAUUUCUUCUUUCCAUUGGAGGAUAAUACUCUUUAAGUAGUUAUUGCGAGAGAAAAUUUGUGUCUUUGAUUGGAAAAACUCGGGUGAGAAUUUCCUUAUCACAUGGCAGGAUGAAUGUCAAACAUUGACCAGUUCUAACAUAACAUGUGUUUAUAACACACGCUAUAGCACGUGACAAGGAAGAUCCACCCUAUCAAAAAUUGAGAGUCACUAGAAUGCACAAGUAAUUAAAUUUCUACCAUGAAAGUAAAUUUUUUUUAAAAUUUAUUAUAACUUAUUCUAAAAAAAUAUCAGUGGCAAAUUAAAUUUUAGGUGCAAUAGUAGAUCAUGAUAUUGUAUCUUCCUUUUGGCAUUCGAGUUUAAAUCUCUCUCCCUGUAAAUUAGAGUAGUUUAGAAUAUUAUCCAUUCUUCAAAAUAAAAAAUUAGACAUGGGUAUCGAAGUUCUUUUCGGCUUGUUUUAGAAGGUUCUCCGACGUGGCCCAAAUCCAACUGGUCACCAGCAACAAGUAGCUGAAGUAACUGUAACCAAGCAAAGCUCUCCUCUCGGAAGAGGUACUAACUAGGAACGAUAAUAUGUCGAAGACAGGUGAGGUCGUAUGCGUUACCGGUGGAAGUGGGUGCAUUGGAUCAUGGCUCGUCCGUCUCCUCCUCGACCGUAAUUACACCGUCCAUGCCACUGUCAAAGAUCUCAGUUAGUUUACCCUUUGCCUUUUCUAUUUAUCUACACAACUGCCAUUUCCUUGCUGUUCAGUCUGAAACGUCGUCGUGUCGUUUUUGUUGCAGAGGACGAGGGUGAGACGAAGCAUCUAGAAGCCCUAGAAGGAGCAGCGACGCGUCUCCGUCUCUUCCAGAUCGACCUCCUCGACUACAACUCCAUCUUCGCCGCCAUCAAUGGCUGCUCCGGCGUCUUCCACCUCGCCUCUCCUUGCAUCGUCGAUCAAGUCCAAGACCCCGAGGUUGCUUCAUCUUCACAAAAAGGCCAUAAAAGAAGCUCAAUUCUUUGUAAUUAUGAUUAUAUUUAGAUGAAAUUGUUGUGCUUUUUGUUAUACAGAAGGAGCU